AAUGAACGCUGGCAGCAUGCCUAACACAUGCAAGUCGAACGAAGGCUUCGGCCUUAGUGGCGCACGGGUGCGUAACGCGUGGGAAUCUGCCCUCAGGUUCGGAAUAACAGCGAGAAAUUGCUGCUAAUACCGGAUGAUAUCGCGAGAUCAAAGAUUUAUCGCCUAAGGAUGAGCCCGCGUAGGAUUAGCUAGUUGGUGUGGUAAAGGCGCACCAAGGCGACGAUCCGUAGCUGGUCUGAGAGGAUGAUCAGCCACACUGGGACUGAGACACGGCCCAGACUCCUACGGGAGGCAGCAGUGGGGAAUAUUGGACAAUGGGCGAAAGCCUGAUCCAGCAAUGCCGCGUGAGUGAUGAAGGCCUUAGGGUUGUAAAGCUCUUUUACCCGGGAUGAUAAUGACAGUACCGGGAGAAUAAGCUCCGGCUAACUCCGUGCCAGCAGCCGCCGCAG
rnacentral:rRNA from 1 species